ensembl:snRNA U2 U2 spliceosomal RNA
AUCACUUCUUGGCCUUUUGGCUAAGAUCAAGUGUAGUAUCUGUUCUUAGUAAACUUGGCUAUAAUAAAAUUUAUAUUUUGCAAAAGAAGAAAAAAAUCUAGGUUUAGAUUUGCGAUAUAGUAUAUAUAGUUAUGUGAAACAUUUACGUAGUUUCCCUGAACAUUUUGAAAUUCUGUCUAUACCACGA